CGGAUCGGAGUCUGNAACCCGACUCCGUGAAGCUGGAUUCGCUAGUAAUCGCGCAUCAGCCAUGGCGCGGUGAAUACGUUCCCGGGCCUUGUACACACCGCCCGUCACACCAUGGGGAGCCGGUAAUACCCGAAGUCAGUAGCCUAACCGCAAGGGGGGCGCUGCCGAAGGUAGGAUUGGCGACUGGGGUGAAGUCGUAACAAGGUAGC
rnacentral:rRNA from 1 species